GGCGGCGUGCUUAACACAUGCAAGUCGAACGAUGAACCUCACUUGUGGGGGGAUUAGUGGCGAACGGGUGAGUAACACGUGAGUAACCUGCCCUUGACUCUGGGAUAAGCCUGGGAAACCGGGUCUAAUACUGGAUACGACCUUCUGGCGCAUGCCAUGUUGGUGGAAAGCUUUUGUGGUUUUGGAUGGACUCGCGGCCUAUCAGCUUGUUGGUGGGGUAAUGGCCUACCAAGGCGACGACGGGUAGCCGGCCUGAGAGGGUGACCGGCCACACUGGGACUGAGACACGGCCCAGACUCCUACGGGAGGCAGCAGUGGGGAAUAUUGCACAAUGGGCGCAAGCCUGAUGCAGCGACGCCGCGUGAGGGAUGAAGGCCUUCGGGUUGUAAACCUCUUUCAGUAGGGAAGAAGCCGGUCUUUUGGGUUGGUGACGGUACCUGCAGAAGAAGCGCCGGCUAACUACGUGCCAGCAGCCGCGGUAAUACGUAGGGCGCAAGCGUUAUCCGGAAUUAUUGGGCGUAAAGAGCUCGUAGGCGGUUUGUCGCGUCUGCCGUGAAAGUCCGGGGCUUAACUCCGGAUCUGCGGUGGGUACGGGCAGACUAGAGUGCAGUAGGGGAGACUGGAAUCCUGGUGUAGCGGUGAAAUGCGCAGAUAUC
rnacentral:rRNA from 1 species